rnacentral:rRNA from 1 species
GAUGAACGCUGGCGGCGUGCUUAACACAUGCAAGUCGAACGGACAGGCCCUGCUUUUGUGGGGCGCUCGUGUGGCGAACGGGUGAGUAACACGUGAGUAACCUGUCCUUGACUUUGGGAUAACUUCAGGAAACUGGAGCGAAUACCGGAUAGGAGCUCCUGCUGCAUGGUGGUGGUUGGAAAGUUUCGGCGGUUGGGGAUGGAAUCGCGGCUUAUCAGCUGGUUGGUGGGGUAGUGGCUGACCAAGGCUUUGACGGGUAGGCGGCCUGAGAGGGUGACCGGCCACCUUGGGACUGAGAUACGGCGCAGACUCCUACGGGAGGCAGCAGUGGGGAAUAUUGCACAAUGGGCGGAAGCCUGAUGCAGCAACGCCGCGUGCGGGAUGACGGCCUUCGGGUUGUAAACCGCUUUCGACUGUGACGAAGCGUGAGUGACGGUAAUGGGUAAAGAAGCACCGGCUAACUACGUG